UACAGAGGGUGCGAGCGUUGUUCGGAAUUAUUGGGCGUAAAGGGCGCGUAGGCGGCGCGGUAUGUCACCUGUGAAAUCUCCUGGCUCAACUGGGAGCUUGCAGGCGAAACUGCCGUGCUGGAGUGUGGGAGAGGUGCGUGGAAUUCUGGUGUAGCGGUGAAAUGCGUAGAUAUCGGGAGGAACACCGGUGGCGAAGGCGGCGAUCUGGGUCGAGUACUGACGCUGAGGUGCGAAAGCGUGGGGAGCAAACAGG
rnacentral:rRNA from 1 species